rnacentral:lncRNA from 10 species
CCACCACGCCCGGCCAGUUCCUCCUUCUUCUUAUCCUCACCUCCCCACCCCAAGUUAACUCAGACUAGCCCAGAUAUGCCCUGAGCAAAGGAAGGGAUCCUGCCAAGCCCUAGAUGCUUUGCAGAAACCUCAGUGAUAGAAGCCAAAUACGGAUAUUCAGUAUAAACACACACAUGCACACACACACAAUGACAUUCAAACUUAACACUUGAAUCAACUAAAAAAAAAAAGCUUUGCUAAGUUUGCUAGCUUUUUAAAGAGAUGGUUUAAAGGGACUGCAACUCAGAAUGUACUUUUCAAUAGAAAUAGUAAUUCUAAGGCAAGCUUAGGAUACUGCAAUUAGCCUAAGUGGUAGGCUGGGCAUGGUGAAGCCAGUGCCUGUGGUCCCAGCUACACUGGAGGCUGAGGUGAGAGGAUUCCUUGAGCCCAGGAGUUUAAAGCUGCAGUGAUCUAUGAGGGCACCACUGCACUCCAGCCUGGGCUACAGAGUGAGACCCUGUCUCAAAUUGUAUCCCUAUCCCCACCCAAAAAAAACCUAAGUGGUACUCAUUUCACAGCAAAUGCUCACUUCCUCUCUUUUUCUAGUAUUUUUUUCUUUUUCUCUGUGGAUCACAUAAAGGGAGGAACAUUUAGUUUUUUUUUUUUGGAAACAGAGUCUCACUCUGUCACCCAGUCUGGAGUGCGGUGGUGCCAUCAUCGCUUACUGCAGCCUCAAACUCCUGGGCUCAAGAGAUCCUCUCAUCUCAGCCUCCCAUGUAGCUAAGAAUGCAGGUGUGUGCCACCAUGUCCAGCUAAUUUUUUUUUUUUUUUUUUUUUGUAGAGAGGAAGCUGCCAUCAUAGCUCCCUGUGUUGCCUAAGCUGGUCUCAAACUCAUGACCUCAAGCAAUCCUCCCUCUUUGGCCUCCCAAAGUGCUGCGAUUACAGGCGUGAGCCCCUAUGCCUGGCUGAUUUAGAUAGUUUUAAUUAACAUCCACCUCAGACCACCUCCUGACUCCAAGUUUCCCUGCUCAUCAAUCCAAAAUUUUGUUGAAUAUACUACUUCCCCACCCCCAAUGGAGCUUAAGGGUUAACCUGAACUCUCUAAACCAAUCAGGGCAUUCCUACUGUCUUUGAUCGUGAGUGUUGUAGGCAGAGACAUAUAACCCAAUCCUUGCUAAUGAGACUUGAGGUAGGACCCCAGCUUCCGGAGAGGUUGCCUGGCUCCUAAAAAGAGAAAGAUACCGGAAAAGAGAUGGACUCUUCUACCACUGGAAAUCAGAUGGUGUCCUGAGUGACAUAAGUGUACUUACAACAGCCAUUUUGCAACCAUAAAGAAGCCAGUGGGAAUACACAGGCUACGUGUCCUCGAAGGCACAGAAGAAAGAAGAGAGAAAACUAUAUUCUUGAUGACACAGUUGAGCUACAGAAUUGUCCAACCCCGGAGGUGCCCCACUUCGCGUUGUGGGAGAUAAUGCAUUUUCCUUGCUGUUUAAACCACUUUGAGCUGAGUUUUCUAUUACCAGCAGCCUAAAGCAUUUUGACAGAUAAAAGUAGAUACAAAUGCACAUAUAUAAUGAGCAUCCUGACUGAACGAUUAAAUGUGUAUGUAGGCAUGCAUUACCUCCCCACUCCAUUUAUGAUUGUCACAUUUAUUUUUACUUCAGGGAAAAGCAACUAUAGAAUUUAAAAAAUCAGGAUUGAAAACAAAUACCUGAAUUUCCUACAAUUAAAAAAUCAAUCCAUUAAGUAGUGGUAUUAUGCUAAAAUAAAAUGAAUGCUUAGAAAUUUGUUAAGUGUUUAUGAUGUAAUAAGACAUCAAAUAAACCAUUUUUCUUUAAGUUCUUUAAUAAAAAAAAUCUGAUGUGGAGUCCAGUCUUUCAUUUUUAUCACUGGAAUAAAUAGAGAAUAGUCAUUGCAAUCAAUUGCCUGUUUGUUUCCCCAGAG